rnacentral:rRNA from 1 species
UGGGGAAUUUUGCACAAUGGGGGAAACCCUGAUGCAGCGACGCCGCGUGAUUUAGAAGGCCUUCGGGUUGUAAAAAUCUUUUGUAUGGGAAGAAAAUGACAGUACCAUACGAAUAAGGACCGGCUAAUUACGUGCCAGCAGCCGCGGUAAUACGUAAGGUCCGAGCGUUGUCCGGAAUCAUUGGGCGUAAAGGGUACGUAGGCGGAUAAGCAAGUUAGAAGUGAAAUCCUAUAGCUCAACUAUAGUAAGCUUUUAAAACUGCUCAUCUUGAGGUAUGGAAGGGAAAGUGGAAUUCCUAGUGUAGCGGUGAAAUGCGCAGAUAUUAGGAGGAAUACCGGUGGCGAAAGCGGCUUUUUGGCCUGCAACUGACACUGAGGCGCGAAAGCGUGGGGAGCAAACAGG